rnacentral:rRNA from 1 species
UACAGAGGUGGCAAGCGUUGUUCGGAAUUACUGGGCGUAAAGGGCGCGUAGGCGGCCUUCUAAGUCGAACGUGAAAUCCCUGGGCUCAACCCAGGAACUGCGUCCGAUACUGGGAGGCUUGAAUCCGGGAGAGGGAUGCGGAAUUCCAGGUGUAGCGGUGAAAUGCGUAGAUAUCUGGAGGAACACCGGUGGCGAAGGCGGCAUCCUGGACCGGUAUUGACGCUGAGGCGCGAAAGCCAGGGGAGCAAACGGG